UACGUAGGUGUCAAGCGUUGUCCGGAAUUAUUGUGCGUAAAGCGCGCGCAGGCGGCCUCGUAAGUCUGAUGUGAAAGCCCCCGGCGGAACCGGGGAGGGCCAUUGGAAACUGGGAGGCUUGAGUAUAGGAGAGAAGAGUGGAAUUCCACGUGUAGCGGUGAAAUGCGUAGAGAUGUGGAGGAACACCAGUGGCGAAGGCGCCUCUUUGGCAUAUAACUGACGCUGAGGCGCGAAAGCGUGGGGAGCAAACGGG
rnacentral:misc_RNA from 1 species